GUCAGACUUAUUAGCUCCAGGCAUCACUUGCUUUCCUAUGUAUACUUUUCUACAGUGUAACUGCCAAGCAAAAUGACAAAAAGGCAAAUUUGCAAAGGAACAAGUUAGUGUUAUUGUUGUUGGUUGGGUAUUGUUCUCAAAGGAGCUGAAAUUCUUCUAUUUUAUCAACAAAAUGUGGUAUAAAGGAAUAUAUUGGCAGUGUGUAUCACCGCUAAGGCAGAAGUAUGUAGAAUGCUAUGUGAAUUUAAUAGUCAUAAGGACACAUUCUAAAAGAAUACGUAGUAUCUGUGUUUCCUGCCAAACAAGGAAAAAGUCACACUGGCUCAAAUCUCCAGGAAUGACUUGUAUGUUUCUUGUUCUUCUUGACAUCUGCGGUUUAGCUGAUAGUCACAAAGAACCUUCUAUUCGUCAUCCAACUUGGGCUCCAGAGAAUUCUUGCAAUUCCAUCAGGGACUGUUGAGAGAACUGUUUCAGGAAUGUGAGUCCAUUAAAGCAGAGAUGAUGUAUCCCCAGUAACUGACACAGUACUUAACACAUGGUAAGUACUCAAUACACUUUUGUAGGGUUAAUGAACAAUUUUUCAUCCAUUCCACAGAAGCAGAAUGAUCAUGCUUCAUCAUAUGAUGUGAAGUAUGUCCUAUGCUAAAUGAUCUCUUGCUGCCAAAUUGUCAAGCAAGUAUAUUAGUUUUUCAUGAACUCUGAAAGAAAUGGAUUAAUGACCUGCCUUUAGUAGAUUUUUAUUAACAGAUCACAUAAUGAAUGUAACAUUAAAAUGUAGCAUUAAUAAUAACAACAAUA
rnacentral:lncRNA from 1 species